UACAUCCUCACUACCCUGAACAUGGCUGAUCUCUUCGGUCAUGGACGUUAAGCAGGGUAGAGCUUGGUUUGAACUUGGAUCAGAGAAGCACAAGCCAAGGAAAUAU
rnacentral:rRNA from 1 species